rnacentral:rRNA from 1 species
UAACCGGCGGAAACGGCGACUAAUACCCCAUAUGCUGCGAUGCUGCAUGGCAUUGCAAUGAAAGAUUCAUCGGUGGCGGAUAGGCUCGCGGGACAUUAGCUAGACGGCGGGGCAACGGCCCACCGUGGCGACGAUGUCUAGGGGUUCUGAGAGGAAGACCCCCCACACUGGGACUGAGACACGGCCCAGACUCCUACGGGAGGCAGCAGUGAGGAAUAUUGGUCAAUGGGCGGAAGCCUGAACCAGCCAUGCCGCGUGAAGGACUAAGGCCCUACGGGUCGUAAACUUCUUUAGACGCAGAGCAAUAAGGUCCACGAGUGGACCGAUGAGAGUAUGCGUAGAAUAAGCAUCGGCUAACUCCGUGCCAGCAGCCGCGGUAAUACGGGGGAUGCGAGCGUUAUCCGGAUUCAUUGGGUUUAAAGGGUGCGUAGGCGGCCGAGUAAGUCAGCGGUGAAAGACCGGGGCUCAACCCUGGAAGUGCCGUUGAUACUGUUUGGCUGGAAUGAUCCCGCCGCGGGAGGAAUGAGUGGUGUAGCGGUGAAAUGCAUAGAUAUCACUCAGAACACCGAUUGCGAAGGCAUCUCGCGAGGGGUCAAUUGACGCUGAGGCACGAAAGCGUGGGGAUCGAACAGGAUUAGAUACCCUGGUAGUCCACGCGGU